rnacentral:tRNA from 1 species
GGGCUCGUAGCUCAGCUGGGAGAGCGUACGGUUCGCAUCCGUAAGGCCGAGGGUUCGAUCCCCUUCGAGUCCACCA